GGGGGUGUAGCUCAUUUGGCAGAGCAUAUGUUUUGCACGCAUAGGGUAACCAGUUCGAAUCUGGUCAUCUCCA
rnacentral:tRNA from 1 species